CGGUAAUUCCAGCUCCAAUAGCGUAUAUUAAAGUUGCUGCGGUUAAAAAGCUCGUAGUUGGAUUUCUGUUGAGGACAACCGGUCCGCCCUCUGGGUGAGCAUCUGUCUUUGCCUUGGCAUCACCUUGGGAACCGCUUCUGCACUUGAUUGUGUGGUGUGACACCCGAGGAUUUUACUUUGAGGAAAUCAGAGUGCUUCCAGCAGGCAUUUGCCUUGAAUACACUAGCAUGGAAUAAUAUGACAAGACUUUGGUUUUAGCUUGUUGGUUUUUAGAAUCGAAGUAAUGAUUGAUAGGGAUAGUUGGGGGCAUUUGUAUUUAACUUCAGAGGUGAAAUUCUUGGAUUUGUUAAGGACACACGGUUGCGAAAGCAUUUGCCAUGGAUGUUUUCUUUGAUCAAGAACGAAAGUUAGGGGAUCGAAGACGAUCAGAUACCGUCCUAGUCUUAACCAUAAACUAUGCCAACUAGGGAUUGGAUGUUGUCAUGCACAUGAUUCAUCCAGCAUCUUGUGAGAAAUCAAAGUCUUUGGGUUCCGGGGGGAGUAUGGUCGCAAGGCUGAAACUUAAAGGAAUUGACGGAAGGGCACCACCAGGAGUGGAGCCUGCGGCUUAAUUUGACUCAACACGGGGAAACUCACCAGGUCCAGACAUAGCAAGGAUUGACAGACUAAUAUCUCUUUCUUGAUUCUAUGGGUGGUGGUGCAUGGCCGUUCUUAGUUGGUGGGGCGAUUUGUCUUGUUAAUUCCGUUAACGAACGAGACCUUAACUUACUAAAUAGUAACAUGUAACUGUGGUUAUAUGGGCAACUUCUUAGAAGGACUUUGCGUGUCUAAUGCAAGGACGUUUGAGGCAAUAACAGGUCUGUGAUGCCCUUAGAUGUUCUGGGCUGCACGCGCGCUACACUGAUGUGUUCAAUGGGUUGACCUUGCCUGGGAUGGCUGGGUAAUCUUUUGAAACCACAUCGUGAUGGGGGUUGAUCAUUGCAACUAUUAAUCUUGAACGAGGAAUUCCUAGUAAACUCGAGUCAUCAGCUCGUGUUGAUUACGUCCCUGCCCUUUGUACACACCGCCCGUCGCUCCUACCGAUUGAAUGAUCCGGUGAAUAAUUUGGAUUGCAGUGGCAAACAGUGUGCUGUGUGCUGCUUUGAAAAAUCUUAUGAACCUUAUCACUUAGAGGAAGGAGAAGUCGUAACAAGGUAGCCG
rnacentral:rRNA from 1 species